CCUACGGGCGGCAGCAGUCGGGAAUUUUGCGCAAUGGACGAAACUCUGACGCAGUGACGCCGCGUGCAGGAAGAAGGUUUUCGGAUUGUAAACUGCUUUAGACAGGGAAGAAAAAAGACAGUACCUGUUGAAUAAGCUCCGGCUAACUACGAGCCAGCAGCCGCGGUUAUAUGUAGGGAGCCAGCGUUAUCCGGAUUUAUUGGGGGUAAAGGGUGCGUAGACGGGGAAGCAAGUUAGUUGUGAAAACCCUCGGCUUAACUGAGGAACUGCAACUAAAACUACUUCCCUUGAGUAAUGGAGAGGAAAGUGGAAUGCCUAGUGUAGCGGUGAAAUGCGUAGAUAUUAGGAGGAACACCAGUGGCGAAGGCGACUUUCUGGACAUUAACUGACGUUGAGGCACGAAAGUGUGGGGAGCAAACAGGAUUAGAUACCCGAGUAGUC
rnacentral:rRNA from 1 species